CCCUUAGAUGUUCUGGGCUGCACGCGCGCUACACUGAUGCGUUCAACGAGUUAUUAUUUCCUUGCCCGACAGGGUUGGGUAAUCUUUUGAAAACGCAUCGUGAUGGGGAUAGAUUAUUGUAAUUAUUAAUCUUCAACGAGGAAUUCCUAGUAAGUGCGAAUCAUCAGUUCGCGCUGAUUACGUCCCUGCCCUUUGUACACACCGCCCGUCGCACCUACCGAUUGAAUGGUCCGGUGAAAUCUCGGGACGGCGGCUUGGUCGCUUGCGUCCGACUGCUGAAACUUGAUUAAACCAUAUCAUUUAGAGGAAGGUGAAGUCGUAACA
rnacentral:rRNA from 1 species